rnacentral:misc_RNA from 1 species
UCUCCGUAGGUGAACCUGCGGAAGGAUCAUUAUCGUACAAAAUGUGAGGGGCAUGCGAGGGCUGUCGCUGACUCAAAAGUCGUGCACGCCCGAGUGUGUCCUCUUGCAUAAUAAUCCAUCUCACCCUUUGUGCAUCACCGCGUGGGCACCCUUCGGGAUCAUCUCGGAGGGGGGCUCGCGUUUUCACACAAACCCCCCUUUUAAAAGUGUAGAAUGACCACAUUUAUGCAAUCAAUACAACUUUCAACAACGGAUCUCUUGGCUCUC